CCACCCGGCCAUAGUGGGCGGGAAACACCCGGACUCGUUUCGAACCCGGAAGUUAAGCCGCCCACGUUAGGAGGGCAGUGGACACCGAGAGGGUCCGCAGCCCUCCUAAGCUGGGAUGG
rnacentral:rRNA from 4 species